rnacentral:lncRNA from 1 species
CUAAUCCCCAGUUUCUGUGAGUGUGGCCUUAUUUGGAAAUAGAGUCUCUGCAGAUGUAAUCAAGUUAAGACAAGGUCAUCGUGAAUUAGGUGUCCAAUGAUUGAUGUCCUUAUGAGAAGAGAGGGAGAUUUGAAUACAGACACAGAGACACAAACGGAGGAAAGAAGGCUGGUGACUGAGUCCUCGCCCCCCAUCUCCUAUGCCUACACAGAGGAGAACUCUUUGUAAACAUCAAGUGUCAUGACCAUCAGCCCCUGGCAAACAUCUGGUCUGCCUUCACUAGAGGACCAUUUUCAAUUACCUUGGGGAUAAGAAGAUUGGCCCUGAUGGAAAGUGAAUUGCUCAUGAGAUACAGUCAAUGAAAGAAAAAAAGAAAACUGUACUUUAGCUCAGGAACUAGAAUAAAGUUUCCAAAAAACA